GAAAGCAAUGGCAAGAACAGAAGAGGAGAAAGUGAUAGCGCAUGAGCGUGCAAAGGCUAAAGAAGCUAAAGCAAAGAUGGAACUACAUGAAGCUAAAGCGAAGCAUGCAGCAGAGAAGCUUAGCGCGAAACAGUCACAUUAUUACGGUGGUCACCAUGAAGCUCAACCAGUUGGGUCAAUUUCCAAACCUGGAACCACUUUUCCAACUUAUCCACCAGGAGGAGGAAACCUUCCACCAAACAACCACAUAUAAUCACAUGUAUAUGUCUUCUCUCUGUGUUUCAAUCCAGCUUCCACGUUAUAAUCCUUCUUGGAAUUUCUUUUAUAU
rnacentral:lncRNA from 1 species